UACGUAGGGUGCAGGCGUUACUCGGAAUUACUGAGCGUAAAGCGUGCGCAGGCGGUUUGCUAAGACAGGUGUGAAAUCCCCGGGCUUAACCUGGGAACUGCGCUUGUAACUAGCAGGCUAGAGUGUGGCAGAGGGGGGUGGAAUUCCAGGUGUAGCAGUGAAAUGCGUAGAUAUCUGGAGGAACACCGAUGGCGAAGGCAGCCCCCUGGGCUAACACUGACGCUCAUGCACGAAAGCGUGGGGAGCAAACAGG
rnacentral:rRNA from 1 species